rnacentral:rRNA from 1 species
UACGUAGGGUGCGAGCGUUGUCCGGAUUUAUUGGGCGUAAAGAGCUUGUAGGUGGCUCGUUGCGUCGGGAGUGAAAACCCGCGGCUCAACCGCGGGCCUGCUUCCGAUACGGGCGAGCUAGAGUUCGGCAGGGGAGACUGGAACUCCUGGUGUAGCGGUGGAAUGCGCAGAUAUCAGGAGGAACACCGGUGGCGAAGGCGGGUCUCUGGGCCGAUACUGACACUGAGAAGCGAAAGCGUGGGGAGCGAACAGG